CCAGAGAAUUUAGCAGAGAUGCUUAGUGCCUUCGGGAACUCUGAGACAGGUGCUGCAUGGCUGUCGUCAGCUCGUGUUGUGAAAUGUUGGGUUAAGCCGCAACGAGCGCAACCCUUAUCCUUUGUUGCCAGCACGUAAUGGUGGGAACUCAAAGGAGACUGCCGGUGAUAAACCGGAGGAAGGUGGGGAUGACGUCAAGUCAUCAUGGCCCUUACGAGUAGGGCUACACACGUGCUACAAUGGCGCAUACAAAGAGAAGCGACCUCGCGAGAGCAAGCGGACCUCAUAAAGUGCGUCGUAGUCUGGAUUGGAGUCUGCAACUCGACUCCAUGAAGUCGGAAUCGCUAGUAAUCGUAAAUCAGAAUGUUACGGUGAAUACGUUCCCGGGCCUUGUACACACCGCCCGUCACACCAUGGGAGUGGGUUGCAAAAGAAGUAGAUAGCUUAACCUUCGGGAGGGCGUUUACCACUUUGUGAUUCAUGACUGGGGUGAAGUCGUAACAAGGUAGGCGUAGUGCU
rnacentral:rRNA from 1 species